GAUGAACGCUGGCGGCGUGCCUAAUACAUGCAAGUCGAGCGAACAGACGAGAGUGCUUGCACUCUCUGACGUUAGCGGCGGACGGGUGAGUAACACGUGGGUAACCUACCUAUAAGACUGGGAUAACUUCGGGAAACCGGAGCUAAUACCGGAUAAUAUUUAGCUUCGCAUGAAGCAAUAGUGAAAGACGGUUCUGCUGUCACUUAUAGAUGGACCCGCGGUGUAUUAGCUAGUUGGUGAGGUAACGUCUCACCAAGGCAACGAUACAUAGCCGACCUGAGAGGGUGAUCGGCCACACUGGGACUGAGACACGGCCCAGACUCCUACGGGAGGCAGCAGUAGGGAAUCUUCCGCAAUGGACGAAAGUCUGACGGAGCAAUGCCGCGUGAGUGAAGAAGGUUUUCGGAUCGUAAAACUCUGUUGUAAGGGAAGAACAAGUACGUUAGUAACUGAACGUACCUUGACGGUACCUUACCAGAAAGCCACGGCUAACUACGUG
rnacentral:rRNA from 1 species